rnacentral:rRNA from 1 species
CGUGAAGUUGGAAUCGCUAGUAAUCGCGGAUCAGCAUGCCGCGGUGAAUACGUUCCCGGGCCUUGUACACACCGCCCGUCACACCAUGAGAGUCGGGAACACCCGAAGUCCGUAGCCUAACCGCAAGGGGGGCGCGGCCGAAGGUGGGUUCGAUAAUUGGGGUGAAGUCGUAACAAGGUAGC